UGAAACUAUCGAAUAAUAUGGUUGCAUCAAAUAACCCCACACUUAGCUCUUGCUCGUCCUCGAGAAAGGAUAGGUAAAAUCAAAUCAAAGUUAAAUUAAAUCAAAUCAUUAUGACCAAUCUCCUAAUAUCCUAUCAAUAUCCAAGAAUAUAUGCAUUAUAAACAAGAACACAAUUAAGAAGGAUAAAGAGUAUAAAUUUUCAUGAAUUUAUUUAUAUGCAAACUUCAAAACUCAAUUAAUUGUCGGGAUUUAAAUGAAAUCUAUGCCAUGCCAAAGUGAUAGGUCCUCUCAUUGAUACACACUCCAACACUCACGUGUUUAAAUCUCUCAAAUUCAAUCAAUGAAUAUGUUCUACCAUAAGCUUGCUCUUCAAUCUCAUCUCCAUUACUAACAUAUUACAAGCAAUGCAUGAAUCAAAAGGUCUUAUUUCCGGUUGUAAUGGGGCUAAGGUUAAGGUGAGGUAAAAGAGAGUAAAAGAGAAGGUUCAAACCAAAGAAAGUAGAGCAUUCUAAAAAAUGAUAUUUCAAACAAGAUAUUCCAUCAAAGCACAUAAAUUUUCCAUCUUUUAUCACCAAUACUUAACUUUUUUUGAUUUCAAGCUCUUUCAACAUAAAAUCUUAAGAACAUAAAGGAACACUUAUUUCUUUCUUUCUUUCUUUUUUUGUAUAUUUUUUUUUUGUUUUUCACCUUUGGCAACUUGCCCAUAUUUUCAUCAAGUAUCACUUCUUCUUUCUUUUCACAUAAUUUCCAACCAUAAUUCCAU
rnacentral:lncRNA from 1 species